rnacentral:lncRNA from 1 species
ACAGUGUCUGUGGGUCAAGAAUUCAGAGUAGCGCAGCUGAGUGGCCAUGGCUCAGAGUCCCUCAGGAGUUUGCAGUCAAGGCCUUAGAUGGAGCUGCAAUCAUCUGAAGGUGUGACUCGAGAUGGAGGGCCUGCUUCCAGUGCAGAUGGAGUGGCUCACUGACAUGGCUGAAUCCGGCCAACUUCCCAGCACAUAGUAGGUUCUUAGUAAAUGUUUAGUGAGCACACGAACAAUGAAUAAUAUGUGACUCUGAGCAGUAAGGGGAGCCAAAGUCCUCGACAGUUAUCAACAGAUCAUAUUGAAUGGAGUGGACCUGAAGAAGACAAACUCAGUUCUCAGGAGGGAGUUACUGCAGGGCACCAACUGGAGUGAACUGGAUUGAAGAGCUUCAACUGUGCAGAUCAUGUUCCAGGCCAAGCUGACUCCAAUUCCCAAGGCUUCAGAACCUCUAGUGAAAACCUCCUCUGCACUCAGAGCUGGACCAGCCCCACAGGUGGUUUCACAAAAAACAUUGUCAAGAGGCAUAGGUUCUGCAGGCUUCCCUGGUCUACUCGGAAAUAUCUGAACCACAGGACAACAACAUUUACAGCAAAGUUACAAGAAGUUUGAAUCAAGAGAAAACUCACAUGGUAUACAUGUCGUAUAGUAAGGAACGUUUCAACAGCAAGCAUCAAAAAAGUUUUACUGUGGCCUCAACAAAUAGGACUUUAUUUUUCUCACAUAGCAAGAAUUCUUCAGGGAGGCAAAUGCUCAUGUCUGUCUAGCAGCUCAACAAUGUCAGCGACAGCGACUCUGAAGUCCUUUCUCUCCUUUAUAAGACAGUUGCCCCCAGCUUCUGACAACACAUCCCCACUUAAGACAGAAAGAAGAAAAGAAGGGGAAAGGAGUAAAGAAGCCAUAUUUUGUCCAUUUUAUUAGGAAAGCAAAAGUUUUUCCAGAAUCCCAAUCCCCAGCCCCAGAAUCACCCCCCAAAGCCCGCACCCCUCCCCAAUCCCUACUCCACGGCAGCCUUCUGUUUCUCUCUCAUGUCUGCCCUAAGUUGCAGGGGAGAUUGUGAAAGUAAGCAUUUAGCUCUCCCAGCGGCUAUAGCAGAAGUAGGCGACUGGGAAUGGAUGUUGGGUUAACCGACUCGUGGUGUGCCCAUGUAUGAACUCUAAGUGAGAAGACAAUCUCAGUUUCAUUACCCUUUCACUUCAGCUGUCUUCCUUGAGACUUGGAUUCUCACUUUUCCCCACAGGCAGGCAGAACCUUGAGGGCACUGGUUCCUGUGCUCAGCUUCGCAGUUGCUGAGACCCCACUUGGUGCACUGAAUCUUGAGAGCAACCAAGAAUUCUUGUAACUCCUCGCCUCCUCAGUAUCUAUCACCAAGUCCUUGGUUGACCACUUCCCAUCUUCUAGCAGAUGCAGACCCUAAGCAGCUGAAACUUCUCUGGUCUUUUCUCAACCGGAGCCACUUGUGCCAUGAAAACUUCUCUGGAGGGACAGGAAUUCCACUACUUGUUUUAAUCACUUUUUCCUCUUUUCCCUUCUUGCUUGACCAGAGUAUCUGUGCCCCUUAGUACCACCAGGGGCAUACAGGGUGAAAGACGCGGCAACUGUUUCAUGUAGCCUAUUAAUAUAUGCAAAAUUUUAUCAAACAUACACAUGUGAAAGACAGGCAAAGGCAGAAAGGUAGCUUGUCUCCAUGAUAGGCUGCGGAGUUUAUUAAGUGGAAGCCCUCAGUGCACGUCAUUAGCUGAUUGGUUUGCCUGUAGUUCAUUUCAUCAGCUUUUUAAGACUCAGGCAGAGCCUCCAGCUAUUGUGGAUGCCUUCUGAAUAGAUUUAAGAAUCACUCCUUCCCAUAAUUGUUUAGGAAUGUUUUCAACUUGCUAUUACACAUUUGGGAAAUUUUUUACUUAAUGUAGCAGCUAAAAUAGUCACAAAAAUAUCAGAAGUCUUACAGUUACUGCAAAGAAAAAAAAAAUCACAGUAAUGAAGCUGUUUGCUCAAUACAAAAAUUAUCGCCUGGGUCUUCCUGGACUAGGGAGUAGGUAAUGAGCGAAAAUGUUUCCUCCACUUGGGUUUCACAACCUGCGAAGCCCCAGGAUGGGAAAUUUCUGUGAGCUCGCCUCUCACUUAUAGAAUUCAGGUGGAUAGUCUUGCGAGGGAUGGUGUGGUAAAUCAUCAGCACAUCAGUGCUGUCUUUAUCUCAACCUUGUCAUCCAAAGACAGGGACUGGCUCAGGAUAGAAUGAUGGGAGGAAGGGGGAAAUUGCGACCAAGGUCCCAUGGGCUUUAGAAAGCCCCUUUGCCUGCCUCGCUGCAGCCUGGAGCAGACCCUCAGGCUUCAGCCUGGUUGAGCAGGUCUCCAGCAGCCCAGCAACAUCACCAUUCUGAUCCCGGUGGACCCCCUAAGACACUCCCAGGGUUCUGCUGGACUUUUGUGAAAUGAUGCAUGACAGUACUGUGCAAAGAUAAAGCCCUUCGUAAAAGUCAAGUAUGUGCCUGGCAUGGGUGUUUAAUGAAUGAAUGAUGAAUGUUAUUACUCGAAUAUUAAUCUGGAUUAGACUUAAGAAUGUCUAUAAACUAAAAUUUAUUAGUUUUU